rnacentral:rRNA from 1 species
UACGUAGGGUCCGAGCGUUGUCCGGAGUUACUGGGCGUAAAGCGCGCGCAGGCGGCGGCGCAAGCCUGGCGUGAAAGCCCCCGGCUCAACCGGGGAGGGUCGUCGGGGACUGCGUCGCUUGAGGACGGCAGGGGCCGGUGGAAUUCCCGGUGUAGCGGUGAAAUGCGCAGAUAUCGGGAGGAACACCGGUGGCGAAGGCGGGUCUCUGGGCCGAUACUGACGCUGAGGAGCGAAAGCGUGGGGAGCGAACAGG